AUUGAACGCUGGCGGCAUGCCUUACACAUGCAAGUCGAACGGCAGCACGGGGGCAAUCCUGGUGGCGAGUGGCGAACGGGUGAGUAAAGUAUCGGAACGUGCCCAGUCGUGGGGGAUAACGUAGCGAAAGUUACGCUAAUACCGCAUACGAUCUAUGGAUGAAAGCGGGGGAUCGCAAGACCUCGCGCGAUUGGAGGGGCCGAUAUCAGAUUAGGUAGUUGGUGGGGUAAAGGCUCACCAAGCCGACGAGCGGUAGGUGGUCGGAGAGGACGACCAGCAACACUGGGACUGAGACACGGCCCAGACUCCUACGGGAGGCAGCAGUGGGGAAUUUUGGACAAGGGGCGAAAGCCUGAUCCAGCCAUGCCGCGUGCAGGAUGAAGGCCUUCGGGUUGUAAACUGCUUUUGUACGGAACGAAAAGGUUUGGGCUAAUAAGCUGAGCUCAUGACGGUACCGUAAGAAUAAGCACCGGCUAACUACGUGCCAGCCGCCGCCGUAA
rnacentral:rRNA from 1 species